rnacentral:rRNA from 1 species
CUUGGUCAUUUAGAGGAAGUAAAAGUCGUAACAAGGUUUCCGUAGGUGAACCUGCGGAAGGAUCAUUAACACGUCUUUGUUGGGUUUAUCAUUAAUGUGAUGACCUAAUACUUACUUAUUAACCUGAACGAAAGUGUUCUUUACUUUUUUAUCCUAUUCUCAACAAAAACACCAAUAAUCCGUGUCAAACUGGCAGAUUGAAAACACAAUCUUAUUAUCAUCACGAAUUUACACAACAAUUCUUAGCAACGGAUAUCUAGGCUCUCGCAACGAUGAAGAACGCAGCGAAAUGCGAUACGUAAUGCGAAUUGCAGAAUUCAGUGAAUCAUCAAGUCUUUGAACGCAACUUGCACUCCCGGGAUAUGCCUGGGAGUAUGUCUUUUUGAGCGUCGGUUCAACCUCAUCUGGGGUGGAUUCGUUUCCAUUUUCGAGAAUGAGCGUUUUCCCUUUUUCUUAAUGGAAAUCGCUUGAAGCGCAGCAGUCGGAUGCGUUUAGACCAGCAUCUUUUGGCGUAGAUAAACACGAAUAUUUAUUUAUUUCAGUAUUCGUCUUCUUCUGCACGUCAAAACCACAGCCCUAAACACCUAUCCGCUGCCCCGAUGCAUUUGGUUAUUAAUCUAAGCAUCAAUCAAAUCACCAAUAAAACAAAAACAAUGACCUCAAAUAAGACAAGAGUACCCGCUGAACUUAAGCAUAUCAAUAAGCGGAGGA